GGCCCUUUUCUAUAGUGGCCCCUCUGUCAUAACUGCUAGCAACGGAAGGAGGAAGGAGUGGCAGUUGGACAGCAGUGGGCCCAGCCUCCACUGGAAGGACCUACCGGGGCUGCCAAGACUGCGUCCUGAACCUUCAAGCUGUCCCUGCCUGGACGCCUGUCCACAUUUGCAUCUAUAUGAAACCGUGAGGCAGAAAUGCUGAAAUGUUCUGAUUCCAUGGUUGAGGGAUCGAGCCUCCAAGCUCAGCGUGGAGCCUG